rnacentral:rRNA from 1 species
GAUCAUAGCUCAGGAUGAACGCUAUCUACAGGCUUAACACAUGCAAGUCGAGGGGAAACGACAUCGAAAGCUUGCUUUUGAUGGGCGUCGACCGGCGCACGGGUGAGUAACGCGUAUGCAACCUGCCCGAUACCGGGGUAUAGCCCAUGGAAACGUGGAUUAACACCCCAUAGUACUUUUAUCCUGCAUGGGAUGUGAGUUAAAUGUUCAAGGUAUCGGAUGGGCAUGCGUCCUAUUAGUUAG